GAUAAAAAGAGGAAUUUAACCUCCUUCAGUAGGACUACAGCCUACCGCCUAACAUUCGGCCACUUUACC
rnacentral:tRNA from 1 species